GGGGCUGUGCUCGAAAGAGAACCUGCACACAGGUGCCGCAUGGCUGUCGUCAGCUCGUGUCGUGAGAUGUUGGGUUAAGUCCCGCAACGAGCGCAACCCUUGCCAUCAGUUGCUACGAAAGGGCACUCUGAUGGGACUGCCGGUGACAAACCGGAGGAAGGUGGGGAUGACGUCAAGUCCUCAUGGCCCUUAUAGGUGGGGCUACACACGUCAUACAAUGGCCGGUACAAAGGGCAGCCAACCCGCGAGGGGGAGCCAAUCCCACAAAGCCGGUCGUAGUCCGGAUCGCAGUCUGCAACUCGACUGCGUGAAGUCGGAAUCGCUAGUAAUCGUGGAUCAGCAUGUCACGGUGAAUACGUUCCCGGGUCUU
rnacentral:rRNA from 1 species